UUCAUUGCAAUGAGUCAUUGGUCUGGUUCAAGGCCUCUGGCACUCCAUCACCUCUGGACCCUCAUGGAAACUCCUCUCAGGCUCUCCUGGCCCCCUGCACAGGGAUCCUGAACUGAGGCUGGUUCGUCCGCAACUACUCACUUUCCAUCUGCCUGGCUGCCGGAUCACUUCACACAACACCGGCUACUUCAGUGCCAUGGGAAACAAGGGCUCCAAUCCCAUAAGCCCCACAUUUCCUCCCGGAUGCCUUUUGGAAAUCUUCAGAUCUCUAAACUUAAUGCCCUACUCACAGACUUCUGAGCUUCUCCACCUCUGCACUAAAAAAUGGUCUAAAUAUCCUUCAGAUAACAAUAAAAAAUGGUCACCUAAUGGCUCGCUGGACCCCGAUAUUUUACGGGAGUGAUCUAACGUCUACCAGCAAACGGGCAAAUGGAAAGAGUUACUUUAUAUCCAAACUUUUCUCUGUCUCAGCUCCAAACCUUGAUUCCUACUCACCUGCCCACGUGCUCCUAGUUAUGCGACCUGACCCAGAGGAACCUCUCACCACUACUCUAGACCUGCUAAUAAACCCUCGUCUUUCUGACCUCCUGCUCCUUCUCUUCCAGCAACUGUUCCUUCGGCUCCUCCAGCCCCUUCCUCCUCUCUGCUACCAGGCCACUCCAACCACCUGACUCUGGCUCCCACCCUUACUCCUCCUGUCAUGUGUCCUCAAGCUGCUAAGGAACCCCACCCCAGUCAAACCAACCUGGCACCCAUCCUCCCUUUGUGAGAGGUAGCAGGGUGGAUGGACUGGUUAAGGUACAUGUCCCUUUCUCACUGGCAGAACUCUCUCAGAUAGAAAAGAAACUGGGUUUUGUAGUGGGUAGCCAUUCCAGCUUUGAUCUGGAAGUUCCAACCCCCACUGAGGCUUCGGUAACUGUCACGCCUACAAGGUGGGGCCGAGAGAGGACC